rnacentral:lncRNA from 1 species
UAAAAUUGGGAGAUUAUCCUGGAUUAUCCAGGCAGCCCCAACAUAUUCAGGAGAGUUCUUAUAAGAGAAAAGGGAGGCAGGUGAGUCUGAGUCAGAGAAGGAGGUGUGAUGAUGGAAGCAGAGGUCAAAGUGAUGCGGGGCCAUAAGCCAAGGAAUGCGGUCAGCCUCUAAAAGCCGCAAAAGGCUAGGAAGACCCAGUUGAGACAGCGGACACUAGAGCAGCCUGGAAGGGAACACCUGCCUACGAAGCCCCUAGGAGCAUGAGGUGUUUCCUCCCACAGCUUCCUGUCCUGCCCAGGGCUAAGAGGACAAGACUGGCAGAAGGACAACCAGCAAUGCUGAGGGACUGUGGCUCAAGGCACUGAUGUCAUUGCCUUGGGUUGCAGUUUUUCUUUUUUUGAAGGAGUCUAACUCUGUCACCUAG